rnacentral:rRNA from 1 species
UACGUAGGGUGCGAGCGUUAAUCGGAAUUACUGGGCGUAAAGCGUGCGCAGGCGGUGAUGUAAGACCGAUGUGAAAUCCCCGGGCUUAACCUGGGAACUGCAUUGGUGACUGCAUCGCUCGAGUAUGGCAGAGGGGGGUAGAAUUCCACGUGUAGCAGUGAAAUGCGUAGAGAUGUGGAGGAAUACCGAUGGCGAAGGCAGCCCCCUGGGUCAAUACUGGACGCUCAUGCACGAAAGCGUGGGGAGCAAACAGG